rnacentral:rRNA from 1 species
GAUGAACGCUGGCGGCGUGCCUAAUACAUGCAAGUCGAGCGAACAGACGAGGAGCUUGCUCCUCUGACGUUAGCGGCGGACGGGUGAGUAACACGUGGAUAACCUACCUAUAAGACUGGGAUAACUUCGGGAAACCGGAGCUAAUACCGGAUAAUAUAUUGAACCGCAUGGUUCAAUAGUGAAAGACGGUUUUGCUGUCACUUAUAGAUGGAUCCGCGCCGCAUUAGCUAGUUGGUAAGGUAACGGCUUACCAAGGCGACGAUGCGUAGCCGACCUGAGAGGGUGAUCGGCCACACAGGAACUGAGACACGGUCCAGACUCCUACGGGAGGCAGCAGUAGGGAAUCUUCCGCAAUGGGCGAAAGCCUGACGGAGCAACGCCGCGUGAGUGAUGAAGGUCUGCGGAUCGUAAAACUCUGUUAUUAGGGAAGAACAAAUGUGUAAGUAACGAUGCACGUCUUGACGGUACCUAAACAGAAAGCCACGGCUAACUACGU